rnacentral:lncRNA from 1 species
UGCCCAGCAUGUUAAAGAAGGACUGAAAGAAGUAAGGCUCUAGAUCAACAGAGCUGGACUUGGAGAGACUGUGAGGGAGAGUAACUUCUCUGUUCCUUUGGUCACUUUUCACCAGGUGGCUGGCAUACCCAUAUCGCAUCGUCAUCUGGUUUGUUUUGGUUGCUGAUUAAUUCACUUUGCUGCAAGAAGUGUAUAAAUUAA